AUUUUAAAUGGUUCUUUAUUCAUAAACUUGAUGCAAGUUUACAAAAUUUACUGUACAUUGCCAAAAUAAGUCUGCAAGGAAAAAUUUAAAAAAAAGCAUGCCAAAUUGCAGCUGUCAAUCUGCUAGCCAUCAGGAAAUUAAGUAUUUAAGAAUAGAGUCAAGAUUUAGCCUUAGGUUUAAGGAACUUUGAUGCUUUAAAAUUUCAAUUCUGCCUCACCACAGCUGUUAUCUGAGCAACCAGCAAUCAGAACCUUAUAUAAACAUAACCAAGUGAGCAAGAAUGCCAGAAAAUAUUUACCUUCUGCCCCCAUCACCAAGAUAGGAAGAGAAGAAAUGAAACGCAUGUAAUAACCUGGAAGUGCCAAGGGUCUUGGAUGUGAAUCUGAAAGUAAAAUGUGUAAGAAAACACUUUGGAACUCUGUACAGGAUUCCUGCAGAAAAUUGUGCUUCUGGUUUCUUUGUAAAAGUGCUUAAUAACCACAAUUCGUUUUUAAAUCAAAUGAGUUUAUUUUUAAAAAGGUAGAGAUC